rnacentral:rRNA from 1 species
CCUACGGGAGGCAGCAGUGGGGAAUAUUGGACAAUGGGCGAAAGCCUGAUCCAGCCAUGCCGCGUGUGUGAAGAAGGCCUUCGGGUUGUAAAGCACUUUCAGUGGGGAAGAAAGCCUUGGGGCUAAUACCCUCGAGGAAGGACAUCACCCACAGAAGAAGCACCGGCUAACUCCGUGCCAGCAGCCGCGGUAAUACGGAGGGUGCGAGCGUUAAUCGGAAUUACUGGGCGUAAAGCGCGCGUAGGCGGUCUGAUAAGCCGGUUGUGAAAGCCCCGGGCUCAACCUGGGAACGGCAUCCGGAACUGUCAGGCUAGAGUGCAGGAGAGGAAGGUAGAAUUCCCGGUGUAGCGGUGAAAUGCGUAGAGAUCGGGAGGAAUACCAGUGGCGAAGGCGGCCUUCUGGACUGACACUGACGCUGAGGUGCGAAAGCGUGGGUAGCAAACAGGAGUAGAUACCCCGGUAGUC